AUACGGAGGGGGCUAGCGUUGUUCGGAAUUACUGGGCGUAAAGCGCACGUAGGCGAAUUAAAAAGUUAGAGGUGAAAUCCCAGGGCUUAACCCUGGAACUGCCUUUAAAACUAGUAGUCUAGAGUUCGAGAGAGGUGAGUGGAAUUCCAAGUGUAGAGGUGAAAUUCGUAGAUAUUUGGAGGAACACCAGUGGCGAAGGCGGCUCACUGGCUCGAUACUGACGCUGAGGUGCGAAAGCGUGGGGAGCAAACAGGAUUAGAAACCCCUGUAGUCC
rnacentral:rRNA from 1 species